rnacentral:rRNA from 1 species
GUCGAGCGGUAGAGAGGUGCUUGCACCUCUUGAGAGCGGCGGACGGGUGAGUAAAGCCUAGGAAUCUGCCUGGUAGUGGGGGAUAACGCUCGGAAACGGACGCUAAUACCGCAUACGUCCUACGGGAGAAAGCAGGGGACCUUCGGGCCUUGCGCUAUCAGAUGAGCCUAGGUCGGAUUAGCUAGUUGGUGAGGUAAUGGCUCACCAAGGCGACGAUCCGUAACUGGUCUGAGAGGAUGAUCAGUCACACUGGAACUGAGACACGGUCCAGACUCCUACGGGAGGCAGCAGUGGGGAAUAUUGGACAAUGGGCGAAAGCCUGAUCCAGCCAUGCCGCGUGUGUGAAGAAGGUCUUCGGAUUGUAAAGCACUUUAAGUUGGGAGGAAGGGCAUUAACCUAAUACGUUAGUGUUUUGACGUUACCGACAGAAUAAGCACCGGCUAACUCUGUGCCAGCAGCCGCGGUAAUACAGAGGGUGCAAGCGUUAAUCGGAAUUACUGGGCGUAAAGCGCGCGUAGGUGGUUCGUUAAGUUGGAUGUGAAAUCCCCGGGCUCAACCUGGGAACUGCAUUCAAAACUGUCGAGCUAGAGUAUGGUAGAGGGUGGUG